CAAUGACCACCAGAAGUUAGAAAAAGUGAGGAAGAAUUCUUUCCCUGAACCUUCAGAGUGAGCAUGAAAAGAACUUGGCUUUCGACUUCUAGCCUCCAGAAAUUGUGGAAAAUCAUUUGGUAUACUAAGUAAUUGGACACUUGUCCUUGCUCUCCAUUUCCCUGUUUAACCAACAAUAUUAUGAGUUCACUAUCAUCAUCUCCCAGAUUGUUCUCCCAGAUUGCUGAGAACCAGAAAACUAUGAAGAGGCAUUGUUUUAUAAAGCAUAUUUAAUUCAUGAGAUUGCCAAGGGAGGGAUUCUCAUGAAGCCAGAAAUAGAACUGAACUAAUACCUGGAGGAAAUGACCAGAACGACUAGAAGG